CAGAAUGUGUUUCUAUUCAUUGUGGACACUACUAGGCUACGUACUACAAGGCAAGAACAAACAUUAAGUCAAUCACAAAUGAUGGUUUCGAUAGCCAUUGAUAAUUGGAGAGCAGCAUUGGAAUGUGACAGUUUGUCUGUUAGACUUGCUAGAUCACCAACCCCAGCAUGGACCAAUCUCUCAUUCCAUCUUCUAGAGAACCUUGGAUUACUGAUUGGUAGUUUAGUGUGUUCUUAUGUUUCUAAUUUUGCAUGACAGACUUUAUGAGAAGUUAUGUCCUUUGAAGAAAAAGGACAAUGACUAUACAGUCAACAAGGUCCUUUGUUUGGUAACCUGUUGGCUGCUACCCUUGAAUAUCCCUUUUUACUUCCUAAAACAGGCCCUCUGUCUCUAAAAUCUAAUUUAAAAUUAUUGCCAUCCUAAUAAAUGUUCAUUCUGCCAACAGGGUAACUCCUUCACUACUUAUCAUGGACUUCAUCCAUUGGUGAAAACUGAUAAGAGAAAGCUGUAAUUCAAAACUGAUAGUUGUUAGAUGUCUAAGCCGGAAGCCUACUAUGGUUAUCGCUCUCGUAAUAACUGUU